CCGCCAGACUCCUACGGGAGGCAGCAGUGAGGAAUAUUGGUCAAUGGGCGCGAGCCUGAACCAGCCAAGUCGCGUGAGGGAGGACGGCCCUACGGGUUGUAAACCUCUUUUGCCGGGGAGCAACGGGCGUCACGUGUGGCGCCACUGAGAGUACCCGGAGAAAAAGCAUCGGCUAACUCCGUGCCAGCAGCCGCGGUAAUACGGAGGAUGCGAGCGUUAUCCGGAUUUAUUGGGUUUAAAGGGUGCGUAGGCGACUCGUUAGGUCAGUGGUAAAUUUGGGGGCCCCAACCCCUCCCCGCCAUUGAAACUGGCGUUCUUGAGUGGAAGAGAAGUAUGCGGAAUGCGUGGUGUGGCGGUGAAAUGCAUAGAUAUCACGCAGAACCCCGAUUGCGAAGGCAGCUUACUAAACUGUGACUGACAUUGAUGCUCGAAAGUGUGGGUAUCAAACAGGAUUAGAUACCCCAGUA
rnacentral:rRNA from 1 species